GCAUGUCCUUGUGCACUAGGCUUGGCCACACCAACUGCUGUCAUGGUUGCUACUGGGGUUGGUGCGAGCAAUGGUGUCUUGAUUAAAGGAGGAGAUGCUUUGGAGAGGGCCCAAAAGGUUAAGUACGUGAUUUUUGAUAAAACAGGCACACUAACCCAAGGGAAAGCAACCGUUACUACCGCCAAAGUAUUCACUGAAAUUUCUCGAGGAGAUUUUCUUAAGUUGGUUGCUUCAGCAGAGGCUAGCAGUGAACACCCAUUAGGAAAAGCUAUAGUUGAGUAUGCACGUCAUUUCCAUUUCUUUGAUGAGC
rnacentral:misc_RNA from 1 species